rnacentral:rRNA from 1 species
UGGGGAAUUUUGGACAAUGGGCGAAAGCCUGAUCCAGCAAUGCCGCGUGAGUGAAGAAGGCCUUCGGGUUGUAAAGCUCUUUUGUCAGGGAAGAAACGGUGAAAGCUAAUAUCUUUUGCUAAUGACGGUACCUGAAGAAUAAGCACCGGCUAACUACGUGCCAGCAGCCGCGGUAAUACGUAGGGUGCAAGCGUUAAUCGGAAUUACUGGGCGUAAAGCGUGCGCAGGCGGUUUUGUAAGUCUGAUGUGAAAUCCCCGGGCUCAACCUGGGAAUUGCAUUGGAGACUGCAAGGCUAGAAUCUGGCAGAGGGGGGUAGAAUUCCACGUGUAGCAGUGAAAUGCGUAGAUAUGUGGAGGAGCACCGAUGGCGAAGGCAGCCCCCUGGGUCGAGAUUGACGCUCAUGCACGAAAGCGUGGGGAGCAAACAGGAUUAGAUACCCUGGUAGUCCACGCCCUAAACGAUGUCUACUAGUUGUCGGGUCUUAAUUGACUUGGUAACGCAGCUAACGCGUGAAGUAGGCCGCCUGGGGAGUACGGUCGCAAGAUUAAAACUCAAAUGAAUUGAC